UACAGAGGGUGCGAGCGUUGUUCGGAAUUACUGGGCGUAAAGCGCGCGCAGGCGGAUGAUGCAAGUCUGGAGUGAAAUCUCGCCGCUCAACGGCGAGGCUGCUUUGGAUACUGUACGUCUGGGGACUGGUAGAGGAUGGUAGAAUUCCCGGUGUAGCGGUGGAAUGCGUAGAUAUCGGGAAGAAUACCCGUGGCGAAGGCGGCCAACUGGACGAAUACUGACGCUGAGACACGAAAGCGUGGGGAGCAAACAGG
rnacentral:rRNA from 1 species